rnacentral:tRNA from 3 species
GGAGAGGUGUCCGAGUCCGGCUUAAGGGGCUCGCCUGGAAAGCGAGUAGACAGUUAUCUGUCUCGAGGGUUCAAAUCCCUCCCUCUCCGCCA